GUGGGGAAUAUUGGACAAUGGGGGCUACCCUGAUCCAGCCAUGCCGCGUGAGUGAUGACGGCCUUCGGGUUGUAAAGCUCUUUUACAUGGGAAGAUAAUGACGGUACCAUGAGAAUAAGCACCGGCAAACUUCGUGCCAGCAGCCGCGGUAAUACGAAGGGUGCAAGCGUUGUUCGGAAUUACUGGGUGUAAAGGGCGUGUAGGCGGAUUAGUUAGUUAGUGGUGAAAUCCUUGGGCUCAACCUGAGAACUGCCAUUGAUACAGCUAGUCUGGAGUAUUAGAGAGGAUGACGGAAUAUCCAGUGUAGAGGUGAAAUUCGUAGAUAUUGGAUAGAACACCGGUGGCGAAGGCGGUCAUCUGGCUAAUUACUGACGCUGAGGCGCGAGAGCGUGGGGAGCAAACAGGAUUAGAUACCCGAGUAGUCC
rnacentral:rRNA from 1 species